rnacentral:rRNA from 1 species
GGCGGCGUGCUUAACACAUGCAAGUCGAACGAUGAACCACUUCGGUGGGGAUUAGUGGCGAACGGGUGAGUAACACGUGGGCAAUCUGCCCUUCACUCUGGGACAAGCCCUGGAAACGGGGUCUAAUACCGGAUACGAGUUUCACAGGCAUCUGUGAUUCUGGAAAGCUCCGGCGGUGAAGGAUGAGCCCGCGGCCUAUCAGCUUGUUGGUGAGGUAAUGGCUCACCAAGGCGACGACGGGUAGCCGGCCUGAGAGGGCGACCGGCCACACUGGGACUGAGACACGGCCCAGACUCCUACGGGAGGCAGCAGUGGGGAAUAUUGCACAAUGGGCGAAAGCCUGAUGCAGCGACGCCGCGUGAGGGAUGACGGCCUUCGGGUUGUAAACCUCUUUCAGCAGGGAAGAAGCGAAAGUGACGGUACCUGCAGAAGAAGCGCCGGCUAACUACGUGCCAGCAGCCGCGGUAAUACGUAGGGCGCAAGCGUUGUCCGGAAUUAUUGGGCGUAAAGAGCUCGUAGGCGGCUUGUCACGUCGAUUGUGAAAGCCCGAGGCUUAACCUCGGGUCUGCAGUCGAUACGGGCUAGCUAGAGUGUGGUAGGGGAGAUCGGAAUUCCUGGUGUAGCGGUGAAAUGCGCAGAUAUCAGGAGGAACACCGGUGGCGAAGGCGGAUCUCUGGGCCAUUACUGACGCUGAGGAGCGAAAGCGUGGGGAGCGAACAGGAUUAGAUACCCUGGUAGUCCACGCCGUAAACGGUGGGAACUAGGUGUUGGCGACAUUCCACGUCGUCGGUGCCGCAGCUAACGCAUUAAGUUCCCCGCCUGGGGAGUACGGCCGC